AUGAAUACAUUCUGAAGGAAUAAGUCCAGGGGUAUGAAUACAUUCUGAAGGAAUAAGUCCAGGGGUAUGAAUACAUUCUGAAGGAAUAAGUCCAGGGGUAUGAAUACAUUCUGUAAGAAUAAGUCCAGGGGUAUGAAUACAUUCUGAAGGCACUGCAGGGAUUCAGACGCAGCCCACACAAAAACAACUGAUCUCUAGUUUAUACUGACAGAUUUUGAUGGGGAUUUAUUUAUUAUGUUACGUAGAUUUACACUGGUGCAUCAAUCUAUGUAUAAACAGUUAUUCAAGAAACAAAGGCAAUUCAUGAUGUUCUUUUCAACUUUAUCAAAACAAGGGAAUCUCCAUCAAACUUUGGCACCUUUUAGUACAAAAAUAAAA